rnacentral:rRNA from 1 species
UAACACGUAUCCAACCUGCCGUCUACUCUUGGACAGCCUUCUGAAAGGAAGAUUAAUACAAGAUGGCAUCAUGAGUCCGCAUGUUCACAUGAUUAAAGGUAUUCCGGUAGACGAUGGGGAUGCGUUCCAUUAGAUAGUAGGCGGGGUAACGGCCCACCUAGUCUUCGAUGGAUAGGGGUUCUGAGAGGAAGGUCCCCCACAUUGGAACUGAGACACGGUCCAAACUCCUACGGGGGGCAGCAGUGAGGAAUAUUGGUCAAUGGGCGAGAGCCUGAACCAGCCAAGUAGCGUGAAGGAUGACUGCCCUAUGGGUUGUAAACUUCUUUUAUAAAGGAAUAAAGUUGGGUAUGGAUACCCGUUUGCAUGUACUUUAUGAAUAAGGAUCGGCUAACUCCGUGCCAGCAGCCGCGGUAAUACGGAGGAUCCGAGCGUUAUCCGGAUUUAUUGGGUUUAAAGGGAGCGUAGAUGGAUGUUUAAGUCAGUUGUGAAAGUUUGCGGCUCAACCGUAAAAUUGCAGUUGAUACUGGAUAUCUUGAGUGCAGUUGAGGCAGGCGGAAUUCGUGGUGUAGCGGUGAAAUGCUUAGAUAUCACGAAGAACUCCGAUUGCGAAGGCAGCCUGCUAAGCUGCAACUGACAUUGAGGCUCGAAAGUGUGGGUAUCAAACAGGAUUAGAUACCCUGGUAGUCCACACGGUAAACGAUGA